AGGCUUCCAAGAAAAACCUCUAAGCUUCAGAUUAUAAGAACCCGUACCGUAAACCGACACAGGUAGUUGGGAUGAGAAUUCUAAGGUGCUCGAGAGAUUCAUGGCUAAGGAACUAGGCAAAAUAGACCUGUAACUUCGGGAGAAAGGUCGCCCUCAGUAAUGAGGGCCGCAGUGAAAAGGUCCAGGCGACUGUUUAUCAAAAACACAGGGCUUUGCUAAAUUGAAAGAUGAUGUAUAAGGCCUGACACCUGCCCGGUGCUGGAAGGUUAAGAGGAAGGGUUAGCGCAAGCGAAGCUCUGAAUUUAAGCCCCAGUAAACGGCGGUGGUAACUAUAACCAUCCUAAGGUAGCGAAAUUCCUUGUCGGGUAAAUUCCGACCUGCACGAAUGGUGUAACGAUCUGGGCACUGUCUCAGCCAUGAGCUCGGUGAAAUUGUAGUAUCGGUGAAGAUGCCGAUUACCCGCAACGGGACGGAAAGACCCCGUGAACCUUUACUAUAGCUUCGUAUUGACU
rnacentral:rRNA from 1 species